AGUGAACGCUGGCGGUAGGCCUAACACAUGCGAGUCGAACGGCAGCACAGUAAGAGCUUGCUCUUACGGGUGGCGAGUGGCGGACGGGUGAGGAAUACAUCGGAAUCUACUUUUUCGUGGGGGAUAACGUAGGGAAACUUACGCUAAUACCGCAUACGACCUACGGGUGAAAGCAGGGGAUCUUCGGACCUUGCGCGAUUGAAUGAGCCGAUGUCGGAUUAGCUAGUUGGCGGGGUAAAGGCCCACCAAGGCGACGAUCCGUAGCUGGUCUGAGAGGAUGAUCAGGCAAACUGGAACUGAGACACGGUCCAGACUCCUACGGGAGGCAACAGUGGGGAAUAUUGGACAAUGGGCGGAAGCCUGAUCCAGCCAUACCGCGUGGGUGAAGAAGGCCUUCGGGUUGUAAAGCCCUUUUGUUGGGAAAGAAAAGCAGCAGGUUAAUACCCCGCUGUUCUGACGGUACCCAAAGAAUAAGCACCGGCUAACUUCGUG
rnacentral:rRNA from 1 species